AUGGCGGCGACUCUGAGGAGCCUCGGGAUCAAGACGCGGACUUGCAGGAGGGCCGUAAGGGAGCUGCGGUCGUACGAGGAGGAGGUGGAGAAGGAGGCGGCCAAGACCGCAGCCAUGAAGGAGAGAGGCGCCGAUCCCUACGAUCUCAAGCAGCAGGAGAAUGUUUUGGCUGAGUCAAGGAUGAUGAUACCAGACUGCCAUAAGCGUCUUGAAGCCACACUGGCAGAACUGGAAGCAACUCUGGCCGAAUUGAAGGAGUCAGGAGAACAAGGUGACGAGAUAGGAGAGGCGGAGAGCGCGAUCACAUAA
rnacentral:rRNA from 1 species